GAUGAACGCUGGCGGCGUGCUUAACACAUGCAAGUCGAACGAUGAAGCCCAGCUUGCUGGGUGGAUUAGUGGCGAACGGGUGAGUAACACGUGAGUAACCUGCCCUUAACUCUGGGAUAAGCCUGGUAAACUGGGUCUAAUACCGGAUAGGAGCGUCCACCGCAUGGUGGGUGUUGGAAAGAUUUAUCGGUUUUGGAUGGACUCGCGGGCUAUCAGCUUGUUGGUGAGGUAAUGGCUCACCAAGGCGACGACGGGUAGCCGGCCUGGGAGGGUGACCGGCCACACUGGGACUGAGACACGGCCCAGACUCCUACGGGCGGCAGCAGUGGGGAAUAUUGCACAGUGGGCGCAAGCCUGAUGCAGCGACGCCGCGUGAGGGAUGACGGCCUUCGGGUUGUAAACCUCUUUCAGUAGGGAAGAAGCGAAAGUGACGGUACCUGCAGAAGAAGCACCGGCUAACUACGUG
rnacentral:rRNA from 1 species